ACGUACCUAUCAGUGGGGAAUAACUGCCCGAAAGGAUGGCUAAUUCCGCAUGCGCCUGAUCUUUCGGUAGGUCAGGGAAAGCCUUAUCAAAGAGGCGCUGAUGGAGCGGCCCGCGUUCGAUUAGCUGGUUGGUGGGGUAACGGCCUACCAAGGCGACGAUCGAUAGCUGGUCUCAGAGGAUGAUCAGCCAGACUGGGACUGAGAGACGGCCCAG
rnacentral:rRNA from 1 species